UACGGAGGGUGCAAACGUUGCUCGGAAUCAUUGGGCGUAAAGCGCGCGUAGGCGGUCCAGCAAGUCGGGUGUGAAAGCCCUCGGCUUAACCGAGGAAGUGCAUUCGAAACUACUGGACUUGAGUACUGAAGAGGAUCGCGGAAUUCCCGGUGUAGAGGUGAAAUGCGUAGAUAUCGGGAGGAACACCGGUGGCGAAGGCGGCCCCCUGGUUGGAUACUGACGCUGAGACGCGAAAGCGUGGGGAGCAAACAGG
rnacentral:rRNA from 1 species